GAGCAGAUCGUGUCCACUAGGAGACGAGACUACCGCUGCUACCUGGUUCGAUAGCGAGGAAGGCUCGAGUUAGAAGAUUCUUGGAUUACUCAAGAAGAGUUGCAGAGGAUCGAUCCAGAGCUACUUGAGUACCACCAAGGCCGAACAGAUCCAGACUCGAUAGGGUCGAGUUCUUCUCCUUCCAGAAAAAUUGGUGAGGACACCACCUUCAUCAGAAC
rnacentral:lncRNA from 1 species